UUCCUACGGGAGGCAGCAGUGGGGAAUUUUGCGCAAUGGGGGAAACCCUGACGCAGCAACGCCGCGUGGAGGAUGAAGUCUCUUGGGACGUAAACUCCUUUCGAUCGGGACGAUAAUGACGGUACCGAUAGAAGAAGCCCCGGCUAACUUCGUGCCAGCAGCCGCGGUAAUACGAGGGGGGCAAGCGUUGUUCGGAAUUAUUGGGCGUAAAGGGCGCGUAGGCGGUUUGGCAAGUCUAGUGUGAAAUCUUCGGGCUCAACUCGAAGUCUGCACUGGAAACUGCCGGGCUUGAGUAUGGGAGAGGUGAGUGGAAUUUCCGGUGUAGCGGUGAAAUGCGUAGAUAUCGGAAGGAACACCUGUGGCGAAAGCGGCUCACUGGACCAUAACUGACGCUGAGGCGCGAAAGCUAGGGGAGCAAACAGGAUUAGAUACCCUUGUAGUC
rnacentral:rRNA from 1 species